rnacentral:rRNA from 1 species
AGACGUAAGUGGCAAGCGUUGUUCGGAAUUACUGGGCAUAAAGGGUGCGUAGGCGGCUUGGCAAGUUGGGUGUGAAAGCCCUCGGCUCAACCGAGGAAUUGCGCCCAAAACUGCCUUGAUAGAGUGAGAUAGAGGUGAGCGGAACUUAUGGUGGAGCGGUGAAAUGCGUUGAUAUCAUAAGGAACGCCAGUGGCGAAAGCGGCUCACUGGAUCUCUACUGACGCUGAGGCACGAAAGCUAGGGUAGCGAACAGGAUUAGAAACCCCGGUAGUCC